GACAGAGGAUGCAAGCGUUGUCCGGAAUCAUUGGGCGUAAAGCGCACGUAGGCGGCCCGGUAAGUCCGUUGUGAAAGUCAGAGGCUCAACCUCUGGAGGCCAAUGGAUACUGCCGGGCUAGAGUCCGGAAGAGGCGAGUGGAAUUCCUGGUGUAGCGGUGGAAUGCGCAGAUAUCAGGAGGAACACCAAUGGCGAAGGCAGCUCGCUGGGACGGUACUGACGCUGAGGUGCGAAAGCGUGGGGGAGCGAACAGG
rnacentral:rRNA from 1 species